GAUGAACGCUGGCGGCGUGCCUAAUACAUGCAAGUCGAGCGAAAAGACGAGGAGCUUGCUCCUCUGACGUUAGCGGCGGACGGGUGAGUAACACGUGGAUAACCUACCUAUAAGACUGGGAUAACUUCGGGAAACCGGAGCUAAUACCGGAUAAUAUAUUGAACCGCAUGGUUCAAUAGUGAAAGACGGUUUUGCUGUCACUUAUCGAUGGAUCCGCGCCGCAUUAGCUAGUUGGUAAGGUAACGGCUUACCAAGGCAACGAUGCGUAGCCGACCUGAGAGGGUGAUCGGCCACACUGGAACGGAGACACGGUCCAGACUCCUACGGGAGGCAGCAGUAGGGAAUCUUCGGCAAUGGGCGAAAGCCUGACGGAGCAACGCCGCGUGAGUGAUGAAGGUCUUCGGAUCGUAAAGCUCUGUUAUUAGGGAAGAACAAAUUUGUAAUUAACUAUGGACGGCUUGACGGUACCUAAUCAGAAAGCCACGGCUAACUACGUG
rnacentral:rRNA from 1 species